rnacentral:rRNA from 1 species
GAUGAACGCUGGCGGCGUGCUUAACACAUGCAAGUCGAACGAACCUUCGGGUUAGUGGCGGACGGGUGAGUAACGCGUGAGAAUCUGCCCUCAGGAGGGGGACAACAGCUGGAAACGGCUGCUAAUACCCCAUAUGCCGAGAGGUGAAACGAAUUUCGCCUGAGGAUGAGCUCGCGUCUGAUUAGCUAGUUGGUGUGGUAAAGGUGCACCAAGGCAUCGAUCAGUAGCUGGUCUGAGAGGAUGAUCAGCCACACUGGGACUGAGACACGGCCCAGACUCCUACGGGAGGCAGCAGUGGGGAAUUUUCCGCAAUGGGCGAAAGCCUGACGGAGCAACGCCGCGUGAGGGAUGAAGGCCUCUGGGCUGUAAACCUCUUUUCUCAAGGAAGAAGAUCUGACGGUACUUGAGGAAUAAGCCACGGCUAAUUCCGUGCCAGCAGCCGCGGUAAUACGGGAGUGGCAAGCGUUAUCCGGAAUUAUUGGGCGUAAAGCGUCCGCAGGCGGCCCAUCAAGUCUGCUGUUAAAAAGUGGAGCUUAACUCCAUCAUGGCAGUGGAAACUGUUGGGCUAGAGUGUGGUAGGGGCAGAGGGAACUCCCGGUGUAGCGGUGAAAUGCGUAGAUAUCGGGAAGAACACCAGUGGCGAAGGCGCUCUGCUGGGCCAUAACUGACGCUCAUGGACGAAAGCCAGGGGAGCGAAAGGGAUUAGAUACCCCUGUAGUCCUGGCCGUAAACGAUGAACACUAGGUGUCGGGGGAAUCGACCCCCUCGGUGUCGUAGCCAACGCGUUAAGUGUUCCGCCUGGGGAGUACGCACGCAAGUGUG